UCAGAUUGAACGCUAGCGGCAUGCUUAACACAUGCAAGUCGGACGGCAACACAGGCUACGGCUUGGUGGCGAGUGGCAAACGGGUGAGUAAUGCAUCAGUACAUGGCCUAUAGUGGGGAAUAGCUCGGUGAAAGUCGAAUUAAUGCCGGAUUCGAUUGGCCUCAAGGCUAAUGAAAGUAGGGGACCAAUGCCUUACGCUAUAGGAUUGGGUGGUGUCUGAUUAGCUUGUUGGUGGGGUAAAGGCUUACCAAGGCAACGAUCAGUAGCUGGUCUGAGAGGACGAUCAGCCACACUGGGACUGAGACACGGCCCAGACUUCUACGGAAGGCAGCAGUGGGGAAUCUUGGACAAUGGGCGGAAGCCUGAUCCAGCAAUGCCGCGUGUGCGAUGACUGCCUUAGGGUUGUAAAGCACUUUUGUUCGGAAAGAAAGCUUUGCGACUAAGAAUUGCAAUAGCAUGACGGUACCGAAAGAAUAAGCACUGGCUAACUACGUGCCAGCAGCCGCGGUAAGACGUAGAGUGCAAGCGUUAAUCGGAUUUACUGGGCGUAAAGGGUGCGCGGGUUGCUCACUAAGACUGACUGUAAAAGACUAAGGCUUAACCUUGGGUGCAGCAGUGACUAGUGAACUUGAGUAUGAAAGAGGAGAACAGAAUUUCGCAUGUAGCAGUGAAAUGUGUAGAUAUGCGAAGGAAUACCGAAAGCGAAGGCAGUUCUCUGGGUCAAUACUGACACUUAGGCACGAAAGCGUGGGGAGCAAACAGGAUUAGAUACCCUGGUAGUCCACGCCCUAAACGAUGUCAACUAAUUAUUGGAAGGGCCCUUCCUUUCAGUAAUGAAGCUAACGCAUUAAGUUGAUCGCCUGGGGAGUACG
rnacentral:rRNA from 1 species